CUUCCUUUUUUCCUUGAUCCCAGCCAAGAUAGCUCCCUUGCUAAACGUUUAACGUCUACAAAACUAUUAACUAUUUGGCCAAACGGACACGGAAUUCUCCGUAAAAUAUAUAUGAAAACAGCUGUGACUAAAUGUUUGCGGGCUAUUGAAAGGAAGCAGGCAUGUAUCCUUUAGGCUUGGCCACCGUGUCGACGAAAGCGCAGAAGUUCCGACGAUACCAGAAGGUGUCAUCCCGAGUUCUUCAAAGCAUGGCGGUUUCUUCUCCGCCGAGCUAGCACUAGCAGCCAAUAUGACGGCGCUCUCAGACCUCCGAGAGCCGGGGAGCGCUGCGAGCACUUCGGCAGCUCGACUGACGGCGCGACGGUCCAAUGGAGUACGAGGGAAUCAUUUCCACUUCCGACUGGCAACGCGGAUAGGGAAAGGCCCCCGAGUUGUCUCCCAGUGACGGACGUCUCAGGCUACCAAUGAACAGAGAGCCGAGGAUCGCCUGGGUCGUUGGCAGCUAUUUGGAAACGUGGAGCGUUGCGAUGGUCCUCAUGGAGACCUGAGCCUGAUGCGCGAUGCAGUGACAAUGACGUCACCCAGCUUGUAGCUUUGAUGUAAGCUACCUAGCUACGUGGGUCUAAAAGUAGCUAAGCCAAGCUACUGGAAAAUGUAAUGUAGCUUGUUACUGCCCAUCUAGAGGAAACAAACCUUCAGAAACUUACGAGAGGGAAAGUUGAAUGGUACAUAUGGGAGAGGUAGACCAACAACAACGUACACUGACAACAUCAAAGACUGGACCCAACAGAAAUAUUAGAAACGCAUCAGUGGCUCAAGAUCUCGAGAAGUGGAGGCUCAUGUUCGCAAACCUGCUAAGAGCAGGUGACACCUGGUGUUGAUAUCUGACAACUUGACAACUUACUCGGUCGAGAGCUAUGUGGCUGAUGAAUAAGAAGAAUGGAAUGUAAAGUGCUGAUUGGUGGUUAAAUGUCCUCGAGCAACAUAUUACAGUAUGUAUACAACAUCCAGCUGUCUCAAUGCAUGAUUGUUGAUCCAGAUACCAACGCAAACUGCUUAUGGAUGGAUGGAUAUCCAUCCAUUUUGUCAGCCUAUCCCCAGGUGCAUGUCUUUGGAGGUGAGAUUAGUACCCAGAGAGAACCCACUCAGUCAUGGGGAGAACAUGCAAAUUCCACACAAAGACUCACAGCUCACACGCAAUGUAAUUCUAAACAAAGUACAAGUAAAAUCUUAAUGCCAGAAGCCAGAGCAU